UAGUUUUAGGUAGGUAAAUAACUAUUCAAGUAUUUGGUAAUAUACAAUUAAUAGAAAAUUUUAACAAAAUACGUGGAAUGGCAUAUAGGAACAGCAUAGGAGAGUUGAAAUAUAGAGAGUAAAUCAGUAUCGCGAGCCGGACUUAACAGGCGCAGCAGUGAACACACCCAGGGAGGCCAGCCACACAGACAGAGCACGGCCCAUCUCCACCUUAAAGUGUCAUUCUCUCCACUAUUUACACCCCUUAUUUACUCCUUCCGCGGAGGAUGAGUGCCCGGUAGUGAGGAAGCAGAGAAAGGAAGUGUUGCGUGCGCCUUGAAGUGCGAGAAGGAAGCGAUAGGAAGUAAAAGUGUUAAUAGGAGCCCUCACGGGAGUGGAAGAAGGGAAAGAGGGAGGAGGUGAGGUAGGAUGAGCGGCGGGAGGUGGAGGAGGAGGAGGCUCACGGGAGGAGGUAAGGAGGCCAGGUGACCACAAGGCGCAGGAAGGACCCUCUCCGGCCUUCUUAAUGCUGGAGGCCGGCGAGUACCAGCGCGUGGCCCUCGAGUCACCCUCACAGUCCCCCACCCAGUCCAGUGACCGCCUCCUGGACAACAAGUGUGUCCAGUCCAGCGCCAGCUCGUCCUCGGAGGACAACCUCGACCUCGAUGUGACCUCCACCGCCCAGCAGGUGAAAAUGGCGAGUGUGAAGCGGAAAUGGCAGAUCUUCCCAGGACGCAACAAAUUCUGCUGCGAUGGUCGAAUCAUCAUGGCACAGCAGACGGGCAUCUUCUACUUCACCGUGGGACUCAUUGUGGUCACCAGCGUCCUCUUCUUCGUCUUUGACUGUCCAUUCCUGGCGCUGAACUUGACACCUGCCAUUCCUGCUGUGGGUGGCCUCCUGUUCAUAUUUGUCAUGUCAGCGCUGUUCCACACAUCCUUCACUGACCCUGGCAUCAUACCCCGUGCCACUGUGGAGGAAGCUGUCUACACUGAGAAGCAGAUAGAGGUACCAAAUUCAGGCAAUGGUCCUCGCCUGCGGCCUCCGCCCCGCACCAAGGAGAUCACAGUCAAUGGUGUGACAGUCAAACUAAAGUACUGCUUCACCUGCAAGAUCUUCCGGCCUCCAAGAGCCUCCCACUGCUCCAUUUGUGACAAUUGUGUGGAGAGGUUUGACCACCACUGCCCAUGGGUGGGGAACUGUGUGGGAAGAAGAAAUUACCGCUACUUUUAUCUCUUCAUCAUAUCUCUUGCCUUCCUGUGUGUCUUCAUUUUCUCUUGUGUCAUCGCUCACCUUGUGAUAUUUAUGAAAAAUGAGAAUGCGACUUUCAUGGCAUCAGUCCAGCGGAAGCCGGCCUCAGUGAUCGAGGGCGUUAUCUGCUUCUUCUCCGUGUGGUCGAUACUGGGCCUUGCUGGCUUCCACACCUACCUCACAACCUCCAAUCAAACCACCAAUGAAGAUUCAUCCAUCCAAUUUGUUCUUCACUGCACUGGAUUUCUGGAGUUUUGUUUUUCUUCUGAGAUCAAAGGCUCCUUCACAGCCCGGCGAGGAGAGCCCAAUUUUAAUCCUUAUGGUUAUGGCAAUUUUUGCCUUAACUGUUUGGCUGUUUUGUGUGGCCCGGUGCAACCGAGCCUCAUUGACCGCCGGGGAGUGGUGACCUCAGAGUACCUCACCAUUACCCAGGGCAGGCCAGGGGACAUCCAAGCUGCCUCCAGGACCUACGGCACAGUGUACACUGCCCAGCCCACGAAUGGUUUGGUGUCUCCUCGGGCAGGGUCAGAAGGUCCUGUGGGCACACAUGGGGCCAAUGGGGGUGUUGUUGUUGGUGGUGGUGUGGGGGCCAGUGUGGUGCCUGGCACUAUCCCUGUCAUGGGUGGUGGAGCUAUUGGUACAGAGAAUUCCACCUCCACGGGCUCCCUCAAAAAGAAGUCCGUCUCUUCCCAAUCUGUAAAUGGAAUUAGUGUCAACAACAACAUCAUCAUCAGUACCAGCCACCACCACCACCACCACCACUAUCACCACCACAGCAACAACAAUAAUCACAUCAACUUUAGCCAGGCAGACAGACCCACCCCUUGUGGCAAAGUCCAAAAGAUGACUGGCCGAAAACUGAGAAAGAGUGUUAGGGAUCCUGAUGAGCAGCAUCUCCCAAUCAUUUUGCACAAGCAGUCCUCUAGCACUUCUCUUGCCAUGGAAUAAGGCUAGCAACAUAACAACUCAUUCCCUGUGACCAGCCACCUCUGCUACUCCUACUCCUACUCCUACUACUACACCCUACUACUGCUACUGCUACUACUACUACUACUACUACUACUACUACUACUACUACUACUACUACUACUACUACUACUACUACUAAAUCACCACCACUUAUCAAUCAUACAUUUUGGUUUGUGGUUUUGAGGAGUGUUUAGCAUGGCGUGGUGGAUAUUCUGCCAAAGGGAAAGAUGUGGUAAGUGGUGGCAGCAGCCUGGGAGCCCCAACGCCAGUCACCUCACACCAGGGGACAGUGGUGGUGGGACCCACCGGGACACCCCCAGGAGAUUUGUCAGUGACAGCUGGGCCAGGGGUGGGGGUGGGGGGAAGCCAUGCAGGGGUCACCUCCAGUCAGCUGUACCUUCUAGACAGCUCUUAUGACCUUGAUCUGGAUUCCAUAGAUGGCUCUGUGUCCCAACCCUCACAUUCCGAGUCCUCGCAGCUGGGACUGAUACACAGCAAUGCAGUAUAGAGUCUCUUCCUGAUUCCACUAUUCCCUCCCCCCACCACCUCCCCUUUGGUGCAGUCUGGCCCUCUUGUGACACUCGGGUCUGUCAUUUGUGCUUACCUUGGCAACUUAGCAGAAAGUUAUCUGCUCCAGAGACUAGUUGGUGUGUCUGUGUGGAGAGCUGUGAAUAUAUUAUUUUGCUGAACUGUUGUGAUGAAGCUCUGAAGAUCUGGGGAAAAUUUUGCACUAGAGAAUGGAGAAAGUUGAGUGAAGAGCAAGCCCUUCUUUUAAUGAAUCACACCUUACUUUAACUCUCUAUGUAACAAUUUGCACAAUCAGUCUUAUGUUAAGAUUUGUAGCCCCAUUGCAUACUUCAGCCUUCAGUAACAAGUUGCUGGUGCUGCAUAAUACAUAUGUUUAAAAUAAAAGAUUUUUAAUAUUGUUACAUAAACUCUGCAUUACAGUGAUAUUACAGUGAUAAUGAUAAUGCCUCAAAAUUCAUACUGGGAAUCUAACUUAAAUUUCAGUUACUUUCAGAUAAGAUUUUCCUAAUCUCAACAUAUACACUUAUUUCUUUCUGUGUCCUUUAUGCAAAGCCACCCUUGAUGUUGUUGUGUGUUAUAGGAGCAUUGUUAUAUGAAGUCAAAGUUUAUAUUUAAAUUUCAUUUUUCACAACAUAUUCAUCCGGUGAGGAGGGGAUAAAAAGAUUGGUCCUGAGGCAUAAGAUCCUGGAAUGCUAGAGGUCUUAUUGGCUGUCCCAUUGUUAGUCAUGGGCAUCACCAGGACAGGCUUGAAAGGCCAAGAAAGGAAAGAGAGCAGUGCAGAAAAAGCUGGCCGACUGAUGGACAGACAUGCUAAUUGUCGUGUGUAUUAUGCACCUGCACCUACCAAAGUGUACAUAAUGCAGUGCUGAUGCUACAGAUUAUAUAUAUAUAGAUAUAUAUAGUGUUUGGUUCCUUGAUGGACAUUUGUGUUUGUAAAUUUGUUAAUAUGCAAGGAUGGACAGAAUUUUGACUUGCCCCUACAUGUCUGUGUGCUUAUAUUUCUACAUUCAGAUGUGUGCAUUUGUACAUAUAUACCCAUGUCCGGACACAGACAAUUUUAUGAUUUGCGUCAUUGUUUUCUAAAACUGUCUUGCAGUUUUCAUAUAUUUUGUUGUAAAUUUGGAAGUAUGGUAAUAAGAUUCAGAUAGUUUCAGGUGUUUUAUGUGUAAUACAUAUUUUAUUUUUGUAUGCUUGAGUAACAGAUGUGGAAGCCAGAAAGUGUUUAACCAUAACCAAAGUUUUUCUCUGUGCUCCUUCCCCUGCUAUUCCCAGAGGCUAACAGUCAGCUAUAUCUUGCCACAAUGCUGGUGAUUAAUGCAUUCUUAACACUUCAUAGUAAUGUUUUGUACUGUUACCAUAUGGCUGAAAAACAUUAUUGUUUAUGAAGAGCUUGGAUGCAAGUCAGUAGUUAUAUAUGUAAGGGAUAGAAAAGAAGAGAGUUGAAUUCACAAUAUGGAAAUGUUUUUUUUUAUAAACUGUACAAGAUGAGUUAUGUUGAUAUUUUUAAAACAUGUAAAAUUUACCAAUGGCUUUCAAGAAUGUAUCUGUUUAAUCUUGAAAGUCCAAAGAAUAUCCUCAUGUAGCUAUAUUAAUCCUUUCUUUAUUGAUGGGACAUUACAAACUUAGUUUUAUGUUUUUGAAUUAUAAAUUAAGUAGGUACAUACUGUGUUGAUAGAUUCAUAAAUAGUGAGAGUAUUUCUGGUUAGUGAUGGUAAAUUUGCUGGGUCUGAGUAUUGCAGUGGCAUCAAUCAAGAAAGGAAAAGCCAUGAUGCUGUCACCAACAGUAAAGUAUUUUGAGUUUUGAAGCUUGUUAUCAUUAUUGGUUGCAUUCCAUCUCAUGUGCACCUUGCAGCAGCAUCCCUUAAUGCACUGUUGAUUAAAUUAUUGAUUGAAUAUUGAACUCUUUAAACAAAAAAAAAAAAAAGGAUAUAUUUUGAAGAAAGAAAGCUUGUAAAUUAGAAAAAUGAGAGAAAGUCAACCUGUGGUGUGUGUGUGUGUGUGUGUGUGUGUGUGUGUGUGUGUGUGUGUGUGUGUGUGUGUGUGUGAAGAGUGCAGAUUUAUACAUUUAUGAGUGCUUGUGUGCAUCUGUGCCUUUGUGUGUGUAGGUGGGUGGAUACAUGGUUGCUUUUGUACUGAAACCAAAGGUCAGUGCAGUUUCUCUCUCUCUCUCUCUCUCUCUCUCUCUCUCUCUCUCUCUCUCUCUCUCUCUCUCUCUCUCUCUCUCUCUCUCUCUCUCUCUCUCUCUCUCUCUCUCUCUCUCUCUCUCUCUCUCUCC